AUUUCCAAAAAAGUAUUCCAACAAAUACACCGCCUGUGGGCUUGAGAGGUGGUCUCGCCAGUGAUGACUGCGGUUAUCGCAGUGAACAGAGCGAGGCCAUUCAUCAACUGGCUGCGACACGACCACCUCGGAUCGCACGGAGCCCAAUCAAAGGCUGCAUCAGCUGGUUGCGGAUUCAGCUGGAUGUCUGUGGACUGUCUGGAGACCAGCAAGCAACGGAAGGAACUAUGGAAACUGCACCCUGUGGACUCGAAGGACUCGCAACUCUCGCCAAACACGCGAAAUUGAAUAAGAUGCUUGCAGAUGAAUCUGUCAGAUCCUUUGACGGGCGAUUCCUCUGAGCCACCGAUGACGACGAGACAUUUGGUAAGAGGCGGCACCAGCUGAGCAUGACUUCAAUCUAAUUCUGUGCCAGCUUCAGUAAAAGUCUCAGGGCCCAAACGAUUCUGUCCAGUGGUCAGAGAAGAAACAGGGGAAAUGUCAUGGCGCCGGCGGCUACUUAGAAGAAUCAACAGAAAUGCUUAUUUCCUGCAAAGUAA
ensembl:lncRNA